rnacentral:rRNA from 1 species
GAUGAACGCUGGCGGCGUGCCUAAUACAUGCAAGUCGAGCGAAGCGGGGACGGGUAAGUAACACGUGGAUAACCUCCUAUAAUACUGAGAAAAAUUCGGGAAAACGGAGCUAACCCCGAUAUUUCUCGAUGGAUCCGCGCUGCAUUAGCUCGUUGGUAAGGUAACGGCUUACCAGGGCAACGCUGCAUAGCAGACCUGAGAGGGUGAACGGACACACUGGACGUGAGACACGGUCCAGACUCCGACGGGAGGCAGCAUUAGGGAAUCGUCCGCAAUGGGCGAAAGCCUGACGGAGCAACGACGCGUGAGUGAUGAAGGUCUGCGGAUCGUAAAACUCUGUUAUUGGGGAAGCGGUACCUAAUCAGAAAGCGACGGCUAAGUACGUGCCAGCAGCCGCGGUAAUAC